rnacentral:rRNA from 1 species
CACGUAGGGGACGAGCGUUGUCCGGAUUCAUUGGGCGUAAAGCGCGCGUAGGCGGCUCGGAAAGUCGGUCGUGAAAUGCCGGGGCUCAACCCCGGGACUGCGUCCGAUACUCCCGAGCUGGAGGCAGGUAGGGGAGAUCGGAAUUCCUGGUGUAGCGGUGAAAUGCGCAGAGUAUCAGGAGGAACACCGGUGGCGAAGGCGGAUCUCUGGGCCUUGCCUGACGCUGAGGCGCGAAAGCCAGGGGAGCGAACGGG